CGGUCAGGUUAUGGCCAUUGUGAAGCCUA
rnacentral:piRNA from 1 species